GAUGAACGCUGGCGGCGUGCCUAAUACAUGCAAGUCGAGCGAAUGGAUUAAGAGCUUGCUCUUAUGAAGUUAGCGGCGGACGGGUGAGUAACACGUGGGUAACCUGCCCAUAAGACUGGGAUAACUCCGGGAAACCGGGGCUAAUACCGGAUAACAUUUUGAACCGCAUGGUUCGAAAUUGAAAGGCGGCUUCGGCUGUCACUUAUGGAUGGACCCGCGUCGCAUUAGCUAGUUGGUGAGGUAACGGCUCACCAAGGCAACGAUGCGUAGCCGGCCUGGGAGGGUGAUCGGCCACACUGGGACUGAGACACGGCCCGGACUCCUUCGGGAGGCAGCAGUAGGGAAUCUUCCGCAAUGGACGAAAGUCUGACGGAGCAACGCCGCGUGAGUGAUGAAGGCUUUCGGGUCGUAAAACUCUGUUGUUAGGGAAGAACAAGUGCUAGUUGAAUAAGCUGGCACCUUGACGGUACCUAACCAGAGAGCCACGGCUAACUACGUGCCAGGCGCCGCAGUAA
rnacentral:rRNA from 1 species